UUUAGGGUUUCAGUGAAAUCUGCUUCUCCUGCACUCCGCCAGCCAAAGAAGUACAAAGAAAAAGACAUUUUGCUCUCCAGACGAUCCUCAGCUGACAAACCAGCUCAGUCCUCAGUGAAGCCUGCAGAGAGCAGUAGCUGUUCCAGCCCCUGUGCUAGUCCUCCUUCUCCAGUGUCUGGAAAGGGGCUAACGGCGGGCCUGUCAGCUAAAGGAGCGAGGAGAAGCUGAGAAGCAAGAAGCUGAUAAGGAGCUCUCUCCAAGGCUGUUACCAAGGAGACCGAGAGAAGAGAGGAAUUGAGGAAAGAUAAGGAGAGAACUUCGUAGCUGGACAACGUAGUUUUAGAAAGUUAGCUGAAGUCACUGUUACUUUUCACCAGUGGUGUUAUGUUGAUUUAUUGAUGCCAAUAGUUGGGGCAGAAGAAGUAUAAACAAUUAGAAAGUAUAUAAAAGGUCAGCCACUGUCGAUAAUAAAGAGUUGCCAUCUGA